UACUGAUGAACUAGUGGGGAGGAAUGAAUAAACAACACACUGUCACUUAUAAACCUGUGAAGCAUCCAGCCUGUUUGCGGUGGUCCACAGAGCACAAAAAAUAUCUGUUACAUUGAUGAUGCAGAUGUCUCUUCAGCCAAAAUAGAAAAGAAAUGAAGAUGGUGAUGUGUGGUUUGUCUUACCACUGGCAAGGAUAUACACUAGAACCACAAAAACUGUAUAUCAAGGAGAAACUGGAACAAUAAUGUGACUACUUUCCAAGCCAAAUCUGUAAUGUUGCACUGAAUUUUGCACACAGUAUACAGACACACAUCUGCAUAUGCCUACCUUUCAGCAGGCUUGUAAAGAGGCUACCAUGGAGAACAAGAGGCAGCUCCAAGAAAUCCAAAUGGGUUCUAGUGGUACAGCAUACUCUAAAACCCACUACAAUAGUCUGGCUCAAUGUUCAAAUUAAAAGCCAAAUUCAGCCAUGGUGUAACUCAGUUGAAGUCUGCUGAGGUUACAGAUUUGACCUGUUACAAAUAUGGGAUCCAACUCCAGGAUAAUUCCAGGAUCUGCAUAAAGUGAAGAGUCCCUGGAUACAGAUUUGCCCUUCCUGUAGAAAAGGAGUGUUCAUGAACCAUGCGAACGACCAAUUCCAAGCAUCCAUGUGGGGCGUCAUAGCAUAAGCACUCACAUCAGAAUCUGCAAAUCUUGCCCAACACCUACCACUACAACUAACCAAAGAAUAUAUCUGUGCCUGCAAACCAACACAGUAAACAGACUGACUGUCCCUAAACGUUGAUGCAGUUGUCAAUGUCAUUUAAAAUGGUCCUCAGCAGGGCCAGCACUGACAAUAAUCAGCAAAUGUUGAAUGGUCUCAGGUGCUGGACAACACCUUAUAGCACUGACUAAAAAUGUGAGGUGUUAGACCUCCAGGAGAGAGACAGAGGAACCAACAAUAACUGCUUCUGGAUACUUGAGAUGAACUUAGCCAUCGAAAGACUACACAAGCAAUAUGGCAGUUCCAUUUUCAUCAAACCUUAUCUUGUCAUCAACACAACAUCUAUGGCUGAUAAUGACAUCGAAAUCCUGACUGUAGACAUCAGUGGCAUUUCCAUCACAGCUGUCUGCAAACUGCCUUGCAAACAAUUCAUGUUUGAUAGACCACAUAACCUCUAAUGUGACAAAACAUGUUGACUUUAAUAGAUACAGUGUCAAAUGGGACUAUAGUAUAACUGGGAAAAAAAGGGGACCUAGCUGAACCUGGGGCAGAGUUCAUAUCAUUUGAGCUCAAUUCAUGAGUCUAAGAAGCUCCCCGGUUUCUUUCAACAGCAGCUGAUGGAAGCUGGGCUAUGACCCCAAUCUGUCAUUUGUAUAACAAACUUAGUUUGGCUCCAAUUUCACAUUUGCUCAAUGCCAUCCAGAGCAAUGCAGUCCUAACACGCAGUACCAUUCUGGUGCUGCUUUAAUUUUAAGAAACCAGAAUGGAAGGACUUUACAAACAACCUCAAUGCCAUUGUAAUAAAGAGCAAAUCCAUACCAGAAAAUUAUGACCAACGUGUCAAUGCAGUGUGCACUGUCUUGAAGAAAUAUAUUCCAUGAGGCUGCACAACAAGUUAUGUGCCAGGACUAACACUCAAAUUAUUGGAUUGGUAUGGAAAAUACAAGCUGAAGUUCAAAGCAGACUCAUUCACUGAGGAUGCUGGCAGUUAGCAAAGACCUGAUCUCCGCAUUAAGGAAGGAAACAUGAAAGUCAUGGCAGAGUCUUACUGAGAGCCUAGACGUGACCCAGAGCAGUACAAAAGCAUGGAUCUGAAAACUUAGCAACAACCCAAAGAAGGUAGAGCAACACUACAAUAUUACUGCAGACUAGGUCACGCUCCAGCUCCUAGAAAAUGGCAUGGAACUGAACAAACAACCCAAGAUUGUCUUAAAGUGACAAAAGACCAGAAAAUUUAUAAUUUUGGGGGACGGUAUACAAUGACCAGACUAGCCUAUGGAAUUAAUGCAUUCAAGAAUGGCAAAGCCACUGGCCUAGGUGACAUUCAUGCUGAACAAAUCAAACACUUUGGACCAGCAAUAAUUUGUUACUCAAGGUGUUUAACAAAUACUCCGCCACACAAAAAGUACCCAAGAUCUGGCAAUGACCAGAUGUUUUGGCACUCCUGAAAUCGGGGAAGCAUUCAGCAGAGCUAAAGAACUUCAGGUCUAUAACACUACUGUGUCCUCUCUACAAACUGUACAAUCUUCUCAUCCUAAUCAGCCCAUCACUGCUCAUUGAAAAACAUCUAAUCCCAGAGCAAGCACUUAAUCCCAGGCAAAUCAUGCACUGGUCAAGUGAUGAACAUCACUCAAUGCACCGAAGAUGGGUUUGAAAAGUGUAUGGUAAUAGAUGCCAUGUUUGUUAAUAUAUCAGCAGCAUAUGACAAAGUAAAUUACUGCACGCUCCUCACUAAAAUAUACAACAUGAUGAAAGAUCACCAUCUCAUAUGACAGAUACAAUCUCUACUACAGACCCAAUUGUGAUGCUGGCAGGCCAGAUGCCAACUCUUGCCCAGGCUGCAGGCAUUAGCUAAUAACUGGCAAACUUUUAUAGCUGGAGACCAGACCAAUUCACAUGUAUAUUAG